rfam:Ruminococcus obeum ATCC 29174 R_obeum-MSIQ_Cont13.1, whole genome shotgun sequence.
CAGUCGGUGAAAGUCCGACUAUGGUAAUCACCAGUGAGCCAUAUAGUCAAAUCCGGUGCGUUGUAGUAAUACAGGGUACUAAGCGGAUGGGUAAUGUAGCUUCAUAAGAAGUGCUAACAAUCAUGCAGACCGCAACAUAA